rnacentral:misc_RNA from 1 species
GAUGAAGAACGUAGCGAAAUGCGAUACGUAGUGUGAAUUGCAGAAUUCAGUGAAUCAUCGAAUCUUUGAACGCACAUUGCACCUCUCGGUAUUCCGGGAGGUAUGCCUGUUCGAGCGUCAUUUGUACCCUCAAGCUCUGCUUGGUGUUGGGUGUUUGUUCCGCCUCUGUGUGUGAACUCGCCUCAAAUCAAUUGGCAGCCGGCGUACUUGUUUCGGAGCGCAGCACAUUUUGCGAUCCAGAUCAACGUACAGCGGCAUCCAAGAAGCCUUAUUUAACGCUCUUGACCUCGGAUCAGGUAGGGAUACCCGCUGAACUUAAGCAUAUCAAUAAGCGGAGGA